rnacentral:rRNA from 1 species
GAUGAACGCUGGCGGCGUGCCUAAUACAUGCAAGUCGAGCGAACGGACGAGAAGCUUGCUUCUCUGAUGUUAGCGGCGGACGGGUGAGUAACACGUGGAUAACCUACCUAUAAGACUGGGAUAACUUCGGGAAACCGGAGCUAAUACCGGAUAAUAUUUUGAACCGCAUGGUUCAAAAGUGAAAGACGGUCUUGCUGUCACUUAUAGAUGGAUCCGCGCUGCAUUAGCUAGUUGGUAAGGUAACGGCUUACCAAGGCAACGAUGUAUAGCCGACCUGAGAGGGUGAUCGGACACACUGGAACUGAGACACGGUCCAGACUCCUACGGGAGGCAGCAGUAGGGAAUCUUCCGCAAUGGGCGAAAGCCUGACGGAGCAACGCCGCGUGAGUGAUGAAGGUCUUCGGAUCGUAAAACUCUGUUAUUAGGGAAGAACAUAUGUGUAAGUAACUGUGCACAUCUUGACGGUACCUAAUCAGAAAGCCACGGCUAACUACGUG